UGCCCUAGUAACGGCGAGCGAAGCGGCAACAGCUCAAAUUUGAAAUCUGGUCUUCUGGGCCCGAGUUGUAAUUUGCAGAGGAUGCUUCUGGCAAGGUGCCUUCCGAGUUCCCUGGAACGGGACGCCAUAGAGGGUGAGAGCCCCGUACGGUUGGACACCGAGCCGUUGUGUAGCUCCUUCAACGAGUCGAGUAGUUUGGGAAUGCUGCUCUAAAUGGGAGGUAUAUCUCUUCUAAAGCUAAAUACCGGCCAGAGACCGAUAGCGCACAAGUAGAGUGAUCGAAAGAUGAAAAGCACUUUGAAAAGAGAGUUAAACAGCACGUGAAAUUGUUGAAAGGGAAGCGCUUGUGACCAGACUUGUGCCCGGUGAAUUAGCUGGUGUUCUCACCAGUCGACUUUGCCGGCUCAGGCCAGCAUCGGUUUGUUAUUGGGGAGAAAAACGAUGGGAAUGUGGCUCCUUCGGGAGUGUUAUAGCCCGCCGUAUAAUACCCUUUGGCAGACCGAGGACCGCGCAUCUGCAUGGAUGCUGGCGUAAUGGUCACCAGCGACCCGUCUUGAAACACGGACCAAGGAGUCAACCUUAUGUGCAAGUGUUUGGGUGUUAAACCCCUACGCGGAAUUAACGUGAACGUAGGUGAGAGCCUUCGGGCGCAUCAUCGACCGAUUCUGAUGUUCUCGGAUGGAUUUGAGUAAGAGCACACAGGGUUGGACCCGAAAGAAGGUGAACUAUGCUUGUAUAGGGUGAAGCCAGAGGAAACUCUGGUGGAGGCUCGCAGCGGUUCUGACGUGCAAAUCGAUCGUCAAAUAUGAGCAUGGGGGCGAAAG
rnacentral:rRNA from 1 species